GGGUCGAUAGCAUAGCGGUUAUGCUCUGAGAUUGCAAAUCGCAAAGUUGCCGGUUCAAUUCCGCUUGGCUGU